GACGAACGCUGGCGGCGUGCUUAACACAUGCAAGUCGAACGGAAAGGCCCCUUUUUUGGUCCUCGAGUGUCUCACGGGUGCGUAACACUUGCGUAACCUUCCCUUGUCUUCUUUUUAACUUCAGGUAACUGGGGCUAAUACCGGUUUGGAAUCCUUGCUGCAUGGUGGGGGUUGGAAAGCUUCGGCGGUUUUGGAUGGACUCGCGUCUUAUCUGCUUGUUGGUGGGGUAGUGGCUUACCUAGGCUUUGACGGGUAGCCGGCCUGAGAGGGCGACCGGCCAAAGUGGGACUGAGAGACGGCCAAGACAGCGACGGGAGGAAGAAGUGGGGAAUAGUGAAAAAGGGGAGGAAGGCUGAUGAAGAAAGGCCGCGUGCGGGAAGACGGACUUAGGGUUGAAAAACGAAUUCAGAAGGGGAGAAGCAUGUGGUGACGGUACCUGAAGAAGAAGCACCGGCUAACUACGUG
rnacentral:rRNA from 1 species